UUAACUAUUAUAUAGUACUCAGACAACACUAAUAUUCAGAGUUUGGGGUCCUCUGGCGGGCGCUUAUCAGCUGGAGCCGAUAGCCUGACCGAAAUCUGACGGCCCGCCAAAGCAACAAAGGUAAUAAUAACACAGGGUGGGAGAUCUACCCGUAAGGGCAUGAACUCGGUAAUGAUCCCUCCGCAGGUUCACCUACGGAGA
rnacentral:misc_RNA from 1 species